rnacentral:rRNA from 1 species
GUAGGUGGCAAGCGUUGUCCGGAAUUAUUGGGCGUAAAGCGCGCGCAGGCGGUUCUUUAAGUCUGGUGUGAAAGCCCACGGCUCAACCGUGGAGGGUCAUUGGAAACUGGAGAACUUGAGUACAGAAGAGGAAAGCGGAAUUCCACGUGUAGCGGUGAAAUGCGUAGAGAUGAGGAGGAACACCAGUGGCGAAGGCGGCUUUCUGGUCUGUAACUGACGCUGAGGCGCGAAAGCGUGGGGAGCAAACAGGGAUUAGAUACCCUGGUAGUCCACGCCGUAAACGAUGAGUGCUAAGUGUUAGGGGGUUUCCCGCCCCUUAGUGCUGCAGCUAACGCAUUAAGCACUCCGCCUGGGGAGUACGCCGCAAGGCUG